GAUGAACGCUGGCGGCGUGCCUAAUACAUGCAAGUCGAGCGAACAGACGAGGCGCUUGCUCCUUUGACGUUAGCGGCGGACGGGUGAGUAACACGUAGGUAACCUACCUAUAAGACUGGGAUAACUUCGGGAAACCGGAGCUAAUACCGGAUAAUAUUUCGAACCGCAUGGUUCGAUAGUGAAAGAUGGCUUUGCUAUCACUUAUAGAUGGACCUGCGCCGUAUUAGCUAGUUGGUAAGGUAACGGCUUACCAAGGCAACGAUACGUAGCCGACCUGAGAGGGGGAUAGGCCACACUGGAACUGAGACACGGUCCAGACUCCUAUGGGAGGCAGCAGUAGGGAAUCUUCCGCAAUGGGCGAAAGCCUGACGGAGCAACGCCGCGUGAGUGAUGAAGGUCUUCGGAUCGUAAAACUCUGUUAUUAGGGAAGAACAAACGUGUAAGUAACUGUGCACGUCUUGACGGUACCUAAUCAGAAAGCCACGGCUAACUACGUG
rnacentral:rRNA from 1 species